rnacentral:lncRNA from 1 species
GGACCGGAAAGGAGGGGGACAAUAUCCACUUGGUAUAUGUUGCAUCCAACUGCUUAUACUUUUCACACAUAGUUUUUACACAAUAUGCUUCAGUUUUAAAAUCACAAUUCUGAUGUGAUUUCAUUCUCUUUGUAUGUGACACACGCAUUGAGACUCAUUCGGUCAUCUUUGAAUUUCGAGUUGGUUGAAACCCAACUGAUAUUCAUCGAGUCAGCCUCAUCUUAUUCGAGUGAAAGGGAAGCAAGUAUGCAAGAAAUGGAGUUGAUAUACAACCGACAUACCUGUUAUAUAGGUGUAAAAUGGGCUAUAUAUCGAAUAUACAGGUGUAAUGGGCCAAAAGCCCAAAGUACAGCAGCUGAGACCCAAAACCUUAAUCCAGACGGCCCAAAACCUCAGUACAGCCCAAAGAUACCAAUUUUCUUUUUUACGUUGAUUUACUUCACCUAAUAAUUUUAAUCAAAUGCUUUUAACUUAACUAAUCAAUAUGGCUAUGUUAUCUUAUUUUCAAAUUUUUUUCAAGGGAUACAAAUGCUUUUUCUUCACUUUAAAAUAACUUUUUUUAAUAGUUGAUCAAUAUUUUCAGCCAAUAAUUUAACCAUAUUGGUUAGACUGUGUGAAAAGCAUUUGAUUAAAAUUAAAGUUUUAGUUAAGUGUCAACAACUUAUUAAAAUUUAAGUCGACUUGUUGAAAAGUAUUUUUCUAAAAUUAUUUUUUGCUUAAAAUAUUUCAGGUGGGCACGUCGCCAAGUGGAAGGGAAGGACCG